rnacentral:miRNA from 1 species
GAUGAGCUACAACAAUGGUUC